AUUGAACGCUGGCGGCAUGCCUUACACAUGCAAGUCGAACGGUAACAGGUCUUCGGAUGCUGACGAGUGGCGAACGGGUGAGUAAUACAUCGGAACGUGCCCGAUCGUGGGGGAUAACGAAGCGAAAGCUUUGCUAAUACCGCAUAAGAUCCAAGGAUGAAAGCAGGGGACCGCAAGGCCUUGCGCGAACGGAGCGGCCGAUGGCAGAUUAGGUAGUUGGUGGGAUAAAAGCUGACCAAGCCGACGAUCUGUAGCUGGUCUGAGAGGACGACCAGCCACACUGGGACUGAGACACGGCCCAGACUCCUACGGGAGGCAGCAGUGGGGAAUUUUGGACAAUGGGCGAAAGCCUGAUCCAGCCAUGCCGCGUGCAGGAUGAAGGCCUUCGGGUUGUAAACUGCUUUUGUACGGAACGAAAAGACUCUGGUUAAUACCCUGGGCUAAUGACGGUACCGUAAGAAUAAGCACCGGCUAACUACGUGCCAGCCGCCGCCGUAACAC
rnacentral:rRNA from 1 species